rnacentral:rRNA from 1 species
CGGAAACGAGUUAUCUGAACCUUCGGGGAACGAUAACGGCGUCUAGUGUUGGACGGGUGAGUAAUGCCUAGGAAAUUGCCCUGAUGCGGGGGAUAACCAUUGGAAACGAUGGCUAAUACCGCAUGAUGCCUACGGGCCAAAGAGGGGGACCUUCGGGCCUCUCGCGUCAGGAUAUGCCUAGGUGGGAUUAGCUAGUUGGUGAGGUAAGGGCUCACCAAGGCGACGAUCCCUAGCUGGUCUGAGAGGAUGAUCAGCCACACUGGAACUGAGACACGGUCCAGACUCCUACGGGAGGCAGCAGUGGGGAAUAUUGCACAAUGGGCGCAAGCCUGAUGCAGCCAUGCCGCGUGUAUGAAGAAGGCCUUCGGGUUGUAAAGUACUUUCAGUCGUGAGGAAGGCGGCGUCGUUAAUAGCGGCGUUGUUUGACGUUAGCGACAGAAGAAGCACCGGCUAACUCCGUGCCAGCAGCCGCGGUAAUACGGAGGGUGCGAGCGUUAAUCGGAAUUACUGGGCGUAAAGCGCAUGCAGGUGGUUUGUUAAGUCAGAUGUG